AGCCAAACCUGUCAGCGGCCCUGAGUGGGUAAGACUGUUUUUAAUAGCAGGCUAGCAUUGCCCGUUGCCGUGCGCUAGCCUAGCACGAGCGAACUCUGCAACUAGAAGGACUGAAUGAAAUGUGUGGAAAACUGUCUCCAGUGAUAUAGAAUACCAAUGCUCACUUGGGAAUCAGGCCCUAUGUCCAAAAUUCCGAACUACCCCUUUAACAUAUCAUAGCCAAACUUGCUACAUAGACAUCAUUCUGGGGACACCCAAACAAUGUGCUGACCUUUGACCUCAGGGGUCAAACAACAGACUUUAUUUACCGUUCCGCCCACUUACAAUAUAAACUGCAAUUCUUACUGGAUUAGAUGCUUCAUGAACCACCUUGUUACGUAUUUUAGGAACACAAGCUGUAUUUCCCUCACUUAACCAAUAGGGGGUAGGACCAAACAUAUAAGCCGUAAAUACUACACAUAGCCUCAAGGGAAAGCAGGACAUUACUGAAGGCUGCAAUAGAUGCUUUAGCCACAGAGGGCAGCACCACAGACCAGGCGAGGAAAACCGAGGAUUACGUCACACCGGUUCCUCUCCAAGUCUUCCGGUCCUCGCUGAGUCCAUAAGAAGCCUACAACUCGUGGAGGCAGAUCAGAACUCUCUCGGCAGCGAUUAGACAUACGUGGGUUUGUGGCUAGGAUCAGCUAGGAGAACACUCUCGCACGUGCUUAGAACACAUCUUCAAUCUCUCUUUACUUCAGAGCAUCAGUUUACCAUACCGAAAAUACUUUAUACAAAUAAAGUCUCUUUAAAGCUAUUCCUUUGGAUUCUACCCCUCUUUCCAUGAAGAACUCAGCAAAUUGGUGACGCCCUGACGUUCUUGGAAAGUUCCGGACCGAGACUAGCGACCGCGAGGCCGUUCGGAAAGCAGUACAAGCUACUUACAGGCGCCACAAGAAAGUUGUAUUCCCAGAUCACAGACCAGAAGCCGUCCGAUCCAGAGGAUCCUUCACCAACGUCGGUGACACCUGGCGAGUGGAUCUGGGUGAAAAAACACCAUCGAAAGACCCUAGAAGACCGGUGGGAGGGGCCAUACAAGGUACUCUUGGCCACACCCUUUUCUGUUUCUGUAGAGGACCGAUGCGGGGCCCAGUGGCACCACCUGAGCCGGUGCCGCAAAGCAGAUACUCCUGGCAGAUCGUGGACUGAGACCCUGACCGACCUAGCUGCACUCCAAGCCAAGGACAA
rnacentral:lncRNA from 1 species